rnacentral:rRNA from 1 species
CCUACGGGAGACAGCAGUGGGGAAUAUUGCACAAUGGGCGGAACCCUGAUGCAGCAACGCCGCGUGAACGAAGAAGUAUUUCGGUAUGUAAACUUCUGUCAGCAGGGAAGAAAAUGACGGUACCUGACUAAGAAGCCCCGGCUAACUACGUGCCAGCAGCCGCGGUAAUACGUAGGGGGCAAGCGUUAUCCGGAUUUACUGGGGGUAAAGGGAGCGUAGGGGGGAGUGCAAGUCAGAAGUGAAAGCGCAAGGCUUAACCAGUGGAAAGCUUUUGAAACUGUACAACUAGAUUGCAGGAGAGGUAAGUGGAAUUCCUAGUGUAGCGGUGAAAUGCGUAGAUAUUAGGAGGAACACCAGUGGCGAAGGCGGCUUACUGGACUGUAAAUGACGCUGAGGCUCGAAAGCGUGGGGAGCAAACAGGAUUAGAUACCCUUGUAGUC